CGUUCUCCUGAGUGGGUCGCUGGUCCGUCUGAGGAGAAUAUCGGUCUUCCUGAAGAGGCCGCAAUUUCUUUUGCGGACAGUUUGAUCUUGAGGAAACCAUUAUUCCUUCUCAGGCGAGCUGGUCCUCUUAAGGAGAUAAUUGGUCCUUUCGACGAGACGAGGCAGUUGAUCCAGUUGAUCCAGUUGAUCGUCGUCGUGACCAAACCGUUGAUUCUUGUCAUCGCUAGCUGACUGGUUACAGCCACGUAUUGGAAGUUAGUUUGGGAUUUAUGUCUCUUGAGGACAAGGAACAAAUCUGAUAAUCUCUGAAACGCUAUGCCAGGCACAUACGCUGAUUGAAGACAAAGGCAAGAAGGGCCUUGGUGUGUCCUCCUAGUGUCAUGGUCACUUUUUGACCUCCCACUUGUGAAAGUACAGCCAUCAAGCUGUGUGCCCCUGUGCUUCUCAUCUACCAUAUGUCAGUGGAAAAUCAGUGCAGCAUGUAAAAUGACACCUGCCCGUGUAAAUGGAAGAAACAGAGCCGGGGAUAGCGUCUGCCUCAGGAAUGUGGAUUUGGGGCAAAGUUAGACAGUGAGAGAGAGACAGAGAGAGAGAGAGAGGUGAGUAACAUGUUGGUUCACCCCCCCCAAAUGGCUGUUAUGGCUGUUGGUUCACCCGCCCCCCCCCCCCCAAAUGGCUGUUAGGCCGGUGCGCUUUGGCAGGCGUGCUGCGCUGAUCCAAAGCCAGGAGCCAGGUGCUUCCUCCUGGUCUCCCAUGCAGGUGUAGGGCCCAAGCACUUGGGUCAUCCUCUGCCUUUCCAGGCCACAGCAGAGAGCUGGACUGGAAGAGGAGCAACCGGGACAGAAUCUGGCGCCCCGACCGGGACUAGAACCUGGUGUGCCGGCGCCUCAAGGUGGAGGAUUAGCCAAGUGAGCCACGGUGCAGGCCUAGUUACAUUUCCAUACCAUUCAUGAACAACCAUCACUGAAAAGCUCAUUGUAGGCGUUUUAGGUUUUAUCAGUGUCACAAACAGCUUCUUUUUUCCCAUUCUUUUUUCUGAUGGAUGUUUGCUGAAACACUGAUUUCUAUAGAGCUUUUCUUUUUAUUGCACUUCACAAACAUCUAUAUACCAUUUUCUUUGUUCCAGACAUGUUACAUGUUUUGGUAAAUAGUGUAUUAAAACUCCUGUGUUUUCGCUGCUGUAUCAUCAAGGCCUAAAACAGACAAUGCCAUCUGUGCUUUAGAGGUAGCUCCACAUUAGCAGCACAUCAUCCAGUGCUAGAUAUUGCCAGAGAGAACGAGAAGAUCCCUGGCUUCGGGGGCCUUUCCUCUCUGGACAGUAAUCUAGAACAUUCGGCUCUGUUCUGGCAUCGGGAUCUUCGGGUAAACAGGUUGAUAAGACUUUGCUGCUAAGUGGCCCAGGUUUGCCUGAGCAGCCACGUGGAAGCCACUCUCCAAGGCUCACUUUGGUGAACUGUUUGGCAAUGUAAUCAGAGGGCUAUAGCCGGCUAGUUAGCAGGUUGACUCACAGCUCGAAUCCUGAUGGUUCCAGAUGGGAAGGGGAAACCUGUUUGUGAGUCACAGUGCUCAAGGGAUCACCAUCCUUUUUCGCUCUUGGGGCUGACUGAUGGUUUCCUCAUUUCCUUCGUUGCUGCCCCUUACUGAGCUGGAAUAAUUGCAUCGGUUUCAAAUGUUUGCAGAUGAUGAAAUGAGGAAGUUCCUGUGUAAUCAAUCACCCGGGCCAUGCUGUCCUUCACAGGACACAGCUGAGUGCCCACACGUCUCUACCUCGGAGCACGGCUACAGCUCUUGCUUAAAACACUGUUGUACUUUGCACGCCAAAGACAAACACUCUGUCCUCAUCUAACACUUCUGUGUUGACACCUGUCAAAAGUUUUAAGGGUUUCAUGAACAGCAAAUCGGUACAAAUCACCGAUGCAUCAUUCGGUUGCCUGUCUGUAAAUGACACUGGGCUGUGGUAUCCUCAGAACUUCCUUCACUGAUGUAUUUCUGUUCCUCUGACCCUCAGCCCGUGAGCCCAGGCUGCCUUGGGCUACUUAUUGAAACUUAAAAGUGCCAGUUAGUGCCUGGCGUGGUAAAUCUUCCUUAGUCGCACUGUUGGGGAUUGUAUCAGAAUAUGCCCUUCUGAGUGAAUAUAAUGCCACUUGGUCAAAUUCAGGAGGAAAAAAUUCUGUGAGGAUUUUAAAAAUGCGAGUUAUAUCAAAUUUUACAUUUUAUAUAUUGUGCAUAUUGAAUAUAAACAUUUUAAAAUGUAUAAUACCUAUUGAAUUUUGCAAAAAAAGCAUAAGUAUCAAAUGUUCGAUCUGGAGUAAUGGAAACAUAUAUGAGGAGUCUUCAAAAAGUUCAUGGAAAUUGCAUUUUAUGAAAAAUCUAUGCAUGAAUUUCAAAACUUUCUGCACCAAAUUAAACUGAUGUUUUAAUUCCAUUUUUUGAAGAAAGUACCUAUUAUCUCUUUUUUUUUUUUCUGACUGGCAGAGCGGACAGUGAGAGAGAGAGAGAGACAGAGAGAAAGGUCUUCCUUUGCCGUUGGUUCACCCUCCAAUGGCCGCCACGGCUGGCGCGCUGCAGCUGGCACACCACACUGAUCCUAAGGCAGGAGCCAGGUGCUUCUCCUGGUCUCCCAUGGGGUGCAGGGCCCAAGCACUUGGGCCAUCCUCUACUGCCUUCCCUGGCCACAACAGAGAGCUGGCCUGGAAGAGGGGCAACCAGGAAAGAAUCCGGCGCCCCGACCGGGACUAGAACCCGGUGUGCCAGCGCCGCAAGGCGGAGGAUUAGCCUAGUGAACCGUGGCGCCGGCCUAGUACCUUUUAUCUCUUUAGUCCAGUCUCCUUUCAUGUGCCUUAUGAAAUGAUUAUGAUUUCACCUGGGCUGUUGGAACUAUCUUACCGGUUUUUAAAGUAUCUUAGUAUGUUUAUUUUUGUGCAUUUUCUUCCCUUUUUGUUUCAUCAAUGACUUCUUUGUGUGUCUAUCAUCUGUGUACUUAUCUGUCUACGAUGUUUCUGCCUACCACUUUUACCUGUCUUAGAUUUCAUAGUUUUUCAUUUGUUAUCUUGGGAUUUCUAAUUGGAUCAAACAUAAUCCAUGCAUUUCCAGAGCAUCAUUAAGAGUAGAUGAAUAAUGUACAUUAAGUAAAAGAAAACACAUCCUCAUUCACGCUCUGUGCACAUGGCCAUGUAGGAGGACUCAGGAGAGUGCUUUUUCUGAGUACUCCCCCCAAAUGAAACCCCUGAUGCCCUGGAAAACCUUUGCAUGUCGUGAAUGGCCAUGCUCUCUGCAGGUGGUUCAAACCACAGCUGCUAGAGAAGGCCCCUUUGCUACACUCACACCUCCAGGGAAAGGUGUGUGGGCUUAGAUAGCUGAGCAACAUGUCUGGAGCCUUGGGCUGUAGAACUGGGAUCACGCGUGGGUAACAUAACCCUUAGCAUUCUGGGUCAGUCGCAGGUGAGUUCACUCUUGAGCUGUGCGGCAAGGGCAGAGGAGCAGUGACCCCAUCUGCUGCCUGGGCUGUUGGGAAGAUCCAAGGGGAGAAUCCUCAGGAGGUCCCAGCGCAGUGCCUACCUGGAAUGAGCUCUUAGGAAGGCCUGUUCACAUUGCAGGUACCAUUUGCUUCCUGAAUAUGUGAAAACUUUAAGUUGUAGAAGUUAUAUGUAGUAGAGCAAGUAAAUGACAUGCAUUUCCCUGUAGUUCUAAGAUCAAAAUGUUUUUACUUAGGAGAGUUUCAGGUGCUCAGUUUCAUGGAAGCAGGGGACAAAGGUAUGUGAAGGGAGACUGAGGAUCUCUGGAGCCCCUCUCCUGGUCAUCCACUCCUUGAGCUUACCUUUAGGACUUCAUUGUUGGCAGCUCUGAGACCAUUCAGAAACUGAUCACAUACACAGAUGAAAGUCACUUAGAAUGUGCAUAUGCACACCCACCACAAACCUCUCCCCUAGAUCCUCUAAAAUACGUUUUCCUGGGUGCAUAGCCAAUGGUCUGCACUGCCCAGCUACCACUGAGACCCCUCUGUCAGUAGCAAUGAAAAGUAACCUUCAGAAGUUGUUCCUUUUAAAAACAGCAAGUAUGCUAUUCGUUUCAACUUUUCUAAUUUUUUUCUCACCGUAUGCCCUGUGUUUCCAGAUCAAUAGGCUUAUUUUGUGUUCCAUUUUAAAAUUCAACAUUUUAAGCCAUGUAAAAUGUGUUGUGGGUAAUUCUUAACUGUUUAAAUUUUCUACAGGUAUGUAAUUUUUGUAACAACAUUUAGUCAUAGUGCUUGUUUCAACUCUGUGCAUUCUUCUUCUUCUUCUCCUUUUGUUUUUUUGGUAAACCAUUUAUUUAUUUGAAACAGAGAGGGAGAAAGAAAGAGAGGGAGGGUGGAAGAGAGGGAGAGAGGAAGAGAAGGAGAGGGAGAUCUUCUUUACACUGAUUUCACUCCCCUCAAAGGCCGCAACAGCCAGGGUUGAGCCAGGCUGAAGCCGGAAUCUUCAUCUGAGUCUCCCACAUGGGUGGCAGGGAGCUAGGUACUUGGGUCAUCUUCUGAUGCUUUUCCCAGGCCAUUAGCAGAUAGCUGGAUCAGAAGUGGAAUAGCCCAGGACUCAAACUGGUGCCUAUAUGGGGUACCAGCAUCAUAGGCUGCAGCUUAAUUUGCUGUGCCACAGCACAGGCUCCAACACCAUCCAUUCUUGAAAGAAGAAACCACAUAGUUUUAAUUUGAUAGUUUUUCAGUUCCAUUUUGAUACCCAGUAUGAGGAAUGUCAUUACUAUUUAAUUUCAUUUUGUGAAUGAGUUCUGAAAGCUGAAUUGACGAAAUGUACCUAUUUAAAUACGAAUUUAUUUUAGACCAGUACUUCCUGGCCCCAUCUCAAGAACUUGAUAACCGUAUGUGGCUAGUGUCUCCCUAUUGGGUAAAGUGGGUGCAGAACAUUGGUAUCAUUGUAGAAAUCUCUCUUGGACACCCCUGCCAGAGUCACGUAUUUUGGGAUUUUUAAUGAAGUUUCCCUAAACUGCCAAUGAAAUGAAAUUCAACCUCUUACCCUACAGGGUCUUGCUACACAGAAACAUGGAUCUAACCAUUGGUUCAAGAUUUUGUUAAUAUCCUUCAGUAAUGUUUUAUUGGUUUAUUUGUAUAAGUUUCACAUAAUUUUUGAUAACUUGGUUUUGUUACUCAAAGAGCAAGUAUUAUCUGAUUUUUAGAGAUGGAUGACUUUGAGACUUGGGGAAAUCAAGGGACUUAUUAAGAGCAUGUAAUUGAGUUAAUAUUUGUUUACUCUGUAUUUUUAUUGACAUUUUAUUUAUGAAAGCAGUUGCUAUUGUGGACGUCCCUUCAGUGGGAGGUUUUCAUGUUUUAAAGGUCAAAUUUUGAUGCUCUGCAAAAAUGUUUCUUGAUUUUUUUUCAGAAGUGUAAAUGUUUUGGUAGUUGUUUAUUUUUAAAAUGUUGGUGAGUUGCAAAGAUAACUUGUCCUAUUGAGACUCAUGCACAAGCAUCUGAUUUUCUCAUGUGGUCUCUUGAUUCUGAUCCUUUGAUCUGUGUCAAUACUGGUCUCCCUGAUGGGGUUUGUAUGUGCUGUCAUUUUACAUCAUGGUAAUGUUUACUGUUACGUAAAGAGUCAAACAUCAUACCCAAUCAGUUUGCAUGCCACUUGGCUGGUGUCAAGAUCAUUCUCACAUAUUGCAUCUCUUUGUUCUUUAUUUUAAUUCUGUGUGGUGGAAGUCAUAAUUUUAUAUAUAUGACAGAACAUGUUUUAGAGGAGGUAAAGAUUAAGUAAAAUAAUCAGUAAAAAUGCCACGAAGUCCUGAUGUUGAUGAAAGCAUUCAGUAAAUGGUAAUUGUUAGAGUAGGCAUUGGCAUCUUUUUUAGAGAUGGGAAUCCAGAGAGUUGUAAAGGCUAAGAGAUGUUUUAAAAACAUAGUGAGUUACAUUGCUUUUUAAAAAUUUUUUUGACUUUGUCUCUUGACUUUUCCUAUACAAAUGGUAAAAAAAAAAAAUUCAUUGCUAAAGUGUUAGAUGAAAGAAACUUUUGGGAAAAAAUGUUUCUGUAUCACCAUUUCUUCCA